GUGAUGUCUUACAAGAGCUGGCUGGCUGUGGACUCUCUAUCACCAGCACAAGAUGCGGCUGGGUGUCCCAAAUAUAGGUCUUGCUCCCAUUCUGCUGCUCAGUGCUAAGUGACAGCUAGCAAGCCAACACAUCUCAGUUGGAGACGUGGGGUGCUGCUGAGAUAGAAGUGAUUAUUGCAAUGCAAGCUCUUGAUCCAGAGCCUGGGAAGCUGGAUGUUGGAUGUCUUCGCAUCCUACCUCCUAUUUUAAGUUACUUCCUUUUUAUAGCAUAAUUUCCAGGUGGGGGGAUGUAUUUCUGUACAUUGAGUCUCCUGUUUUCCUUCCUUGAUAAGAGCUUUAAAUAGCGUGUAAGAAUUGUCAGCAGGUAGCUCUUUUAAUCACAUAGAAAUUAUUCUCUACAUAACUUACAGAGCUCAUGACCUUGGAGCACCCCUCUGGACCACUGGCUGAGCUGGGUGGUGAGGAUCGAUCACAGCCAAAUCGUGGUUCCCUGGUCCCAUCAUCAUAUCCUUGCUCUCCAUCCACGCCGCAGCCCCGUGCUUACUGUGCUCUCCCAGGCUGUUGGGUACAGACAGCUGGUACAGGCACAGAGCAGUGCAGCUAUGCUCCUUGGAAAGCACUUGCUUAUCCAGACUGGUCCUCUUGAAAGAAAAAAGCCACAAGGUGCCGUGCACAGUCUGUAGGGCACCCGUCUGCUGAACCUGCUGGAGAUGGAUGAUGCACGAGAGUUCAAGCCACUACCACUUCUCUGUGAAAGGCUGGAGAAUUCAGAAAUUAUAUGUGUGGACGAAAAUAACCCCAGAGUUUUCCCAGCAUCGUCAGAGCUAAGUAUUUUCCUCAUCUCGCUCAUUCAGAAGAAUUUCACUUUUCCAGCUAUACAGAAUAUGAAAACAAUACAGGAAAAGCUCCCCUGGGUUUUUCAUCAGCUUGUGAAUCUGAAAGAAGUCCAAGGUUCAGGAAGUUCUGCCCAUCUUUUCUUCUUCUGUCCACCAUCUACCACACCAGUGUUGUUUCCUAAGUCUUAA
rnacentral:lncRNA from 1 species